GGUACUCUGUUCCCUCCUUCCGUUAUGUAGGAUAGAGCUAAGUUUAUGCGACUUGGUGGCAAGAGCCUUUAUCUUCUGAGCCGUCCUGCUGGCCAUUUUUUGAAUGGGGUGUUUUUGAGACAGUCUCAUGCUAUAGCCCGUGCUGGCCUCCAGUUUGUGAUUCUCCUACUUCAGCCUCCUGAGGGCUAUGGUUUCAGGGUAUAACACCAUUGCCUACUUUCUGAUGUGCCUUAAUGUACAGCAGAUGAGUGCUCUAAAUUCUCUCUCUUUUCUCCCUCCCCCCUACCCAUCUCUUAUUGCAAAUUUAUUUUUCUCCUCUUCCCACAAAGUCUUUCUUUAGCAAAAUCUUUCGCUAGAAGAGGAAAAGAUGAAAAGAGGUGGAGAGAUGACUUAAGCUUGUGUUGACUUUUGGACAGUUCAACUAUUAACAGAAUCUCAUGGUUUCAAUGGGACAGACAGAGUGUCGUGGUCAACAUGAGAAUACAAGAUGGAGAAUACACAAAUGUUUUAGCCAGUGGCAUGGAGCCUCCAGGAAACUGGACUUCCCUUCUCACCCCACCCAAUCAACUGUAUUGAUUUCCCUCUCCAGGCUUGCUUGCUUCUCUGAGACCCAGGAUAAUGGUUGCAGUACUGAAAAACUGGGAGGCAUCUGCUCUGAGUUGGUUCUAGCAACUUUUAAAGAUCAACACCUGUUCUUAGGGAAAAAGCAGACUUCAACUUCAAUAAAAAAGAUCAUCAGGCUCGGUGCCUAAUCUAGACAAAAGUGAGUAAGCACAUCAUUAUAAGUGAUGAGCGCUAUGUUUACAAGAUGCUAGUGCAAUCCGCCACUGGGUUCCAAACACGCCCCGUGCGCGACAAGUCAUUUUACCUUUCCCGUCCCAGAUUCCUUUGCCAGCGCCAUCAACGACUGAAAAGAAAAUCCUCAUUAGUAAGGUCCAUGGCUUUAAAUUAAAAUACCUCUUAUACUCUGGAUAAGAAAUUAUGGCCAUUACAAUAUAACUCAGGCGAGAAGAAAAUACGAACUUCAUUAAGAACCAGGGCCCGCGUAGCUCAACAGCUCUCCUUCUGAGAACACUGCCUGUGUUCAGUGGAAAGUGGAAAAUCUGACAGCGCUGUAGUCACCGCUCUCCACAACAAUGAUUCUUCCUCCUCUUACUAAAAUAGAGCAGGGCUUGUUGUCUCAGGCACCAUAUUACCAGCAAUUAGGGAUAUAAUCGGAAAGGAUGGCCUUCAACAUCUUUAUUUUAAGGUUAACAUUAGGAGAAGAUGACUGGCAAUUCUCAGCACUUCCUGAGUUGCCAUGGAUACCUGUCAUCCACAUCCAGAGCCUGCAGGUUACACUCGGGGACCUUUGCCAAAUCGUUGAUGAUGUCUCCGAAACCGGAAGCUGCAGCGAUAUGGACGCACGUCUUCCCACUCUCGUCGUCGUAGUUGAUAAUGGACGGGCCCUGCCGAUGGCUCAGAAUGAUGGAGCACAGAAUUCUAUUUCCACUCUGCAG
rnacentral:lncRNA from 1 species